GAUGAACGCUGGCGGCAUGCCUAAUACAUGCAAGUCGAGCGAAUGGAUUAAGAGCUUGCUCUUAUGAAGUUAGCGGCGGACGGGUGAGUAACACGUGGGUAACCUGCCCAUAAGACUGGGAUAACUCCGGGAAACCGGGGCUAAUACCGGAUAACAUUUUGAACCGCAUGGUUCGAAAUUGAAAGGCGGCUUCGGCUGUCACUUAUGGAUGGACCGGCGUCGCAUUAGCUAGUUGGUGAGGUAACGGCUCACCAAGGCAACGCUGCGUAGCCGACCUGAGAGGGUGAUCGGCCACACUGGGACUGAGACACGGCCCAGACUCCUACGGGAGGCAGCAGUAGGGAAUCUUCCGCAAUGGACGAAAGUCUGACGGAGCAACGCCGCGUGAGUGAUGAAGGCUUUCGGGUCGUAAAACUCUGUUGUUAGGGAAGAACAAGUGCUAGUUGAAUAAGCUGGCACCUUGACGGUACCUAACCAGAAAGCCACGGCUAACUACGUGCCAGCCGCCGCCGUAA
rnacentral:rRNA from 1 species